GGGGAUUUAGCUUAGCAGCAUAAGCACCUGCCUUGUGAGCAGGCGGCAUGAGUUCAAUCCCUG
rnacentral:tRNA from 1 species